rnacentral:rRNA from 1 species
AGGACGAACGCUGGCGGCGUGCUUAACACAUGCAAGUCGAGCGAGGCUCUCCUUCGGGAGAUGUCCUAGCGGCGAACGGGUGAGUAACACGUGGGCAACCUGCCUCUAGCUCUGGGAUAACUCCGGGAAACCGGGGCUAAUACCGGAUACGACCUCGAGCGGCAUCUAUCGAGGUGGAAAGUUUUUCGGCUAGAGAUGGGCCCGCGGCCUAUCAGCUUGUUGGUGAGGUAACGGCCCACCAAGGCGACGACGGGUA